rnacentral:rRNA from 1 species
AGCGAACGCUGGCGGCAGGCCUAACACAUGCAAGCCGAACGAAGUCUUCGGACUUAGUGGCGGACGGGUGAGUAACACGUGGGAACGUGCCUUUAGGUUCGGAAUAACUCAGGGAAACUUGUGCUAAUACCGAAUGUGCCCUUCGGGGGAAAGAUUUAUCGCCUUUAGAGCGGCCCGCGUCCGAUUAGCUAGUUGGUGAGGUAAAGGCUCACCAAGGCGACGAUCAGUAGCUGGUCUGAGAGGAUGAUCAGCCACAUUGGGACUGAGACACGGCCUAAACUCCUACGGGAGGCAGCAGUGGGGAAUCUUGCGCAAUGGGCGAAAGCCUGACGCAGCCAUGCCGCGUGAAUGAUGAAGGUCUUAGGAUUGUAAAGUUCUUUCACCGGGGACGAUAAUGACGGUACCCGGAGAAGAAGCCCCGGCUAACUUCGUGCCAGCCGCCGCCGUAA